ACGGGAAUGGGAAAAUCUUUAGAGAAGCCCCUAUUUCACAGCAGCCGGAAUACACCCAACGUGGCUUAAUGUGAAUUUUUCUUUCUGUCCCUGCCACUUCCCACGCUUCCUUCUCUGGUCUCAAGUUUUCAACAUUUGAAAUCCUCUCUCCCCCCAACUCGUCGCCCAGCCCCGUCUCCCCGAAAUCCUCUCUUCCCUCAACAUUUAAAAUCCUCUCUGGUAUUCACUCCCAACCCCCCUCGGCAUCUCCUGCACCCUAACCUGUCGGCAUCUCCCCAACCCCCCAUCAUCUCUGUACCCCAACCCGUCUGCAUCAUGUCCCCAACCCCCCAUCAUCUCCCGCACCCCAACCCGUUACGCAUCUUCUCCCCCCUCCAACCCGUUAGGCAUUCACUAAUCCUCACAAACCCCCAUCCUCUCCCGCACCCCAACCCCGUUAGGUAUUCACUCAUCCUGUAAAACCCCAUCCUCUCCCCCACCCCCGCGUCGCCCAUCAUCUCCCCCAAUCCAACCCGUUGUCCAGCCCAUUCUCUCUGCCAUCUGCCUUUCUCUUACUUGCCGUCGACCCUCCCUCUACUGAAGGCGAAUAAUCGCACAUGGCAUCAUCUCAAUCUUCAUCAUCAAUUAAUGAUUUUGUAAUAGAAUCACCAACUUGUUGGUGUGAGUUGAAAACAACUGUAAAGACGUCCCACACAUCAAAAAAACUUGGAAGGAGAUUUUUUGCUUGCCCGAAAUAUGAUACGCGAGAUGCAAGGUGUGAAUUCUUCAUUUGGAUGGAUAUAUACCAUUUGUUAGAUGAAAACAUUUGUACAAGAGAGAAUAAAGUUUGGAAGAUGUGGGAUGAUGUAGUGAUGCACGAGUAUGAAGUUCGGAAAAGAGAAGAUAAAGUAAUAGAGAGAGAGAGAGAGAGAGAGAACUCUUCAAAACCAAAGUCGUAAAUUAUUGUGUUUGUAUUGGGUUGUCACAAUUAUAAUAGUUUUGGUUUGGUUUGAAUAAAUUGUAUGUAAAUUUAUUCGAACCAAACAAUAGAUAGUUUGUAUUGGGUUGUCACAAUUGUAAUAGUUUUGUAACGGUUUGGUUAAAUUGUAUGUAAAUUUUCCGAACCAUAUGGAGUAGAUCGUUUUUAAAUGUCUCCAAAUGUAAUUGUACUCCCUCUAUGUUUUGAUAAUGAGGAGGAGAUGGUGGGAGACCCUUCUUAGUUGUUUUGGUUCAUAGUUGAGUUCCUUCACUGUUAUGAUGUAUAGAACGUGGAAGAAUUCAAGGCUGUAAAAACUCAUCAGAAAAUGUAAAUGGUUCUAGUUUUUCAAUCUAA